AUUGAACGCUGGCGGCAGGCUUAACACAUGCAAGUCGAACGAGUGGCGGACGGGUGAGUAAUGUUUGGGAAUCUGGCCUAUGGAGGGGGAUAACUACGGGAAAGUGUCGCUAAUACCGCAUACCAUUGGAUGGGCCCAAGUGGGAUUAGGUAGUUGGUGGGGUAAAGGCUCACCAAGCCGACGAUCCGUAGCUGGUCUGAGAGGAGGACCAGCCACACUGGGACGGAGACACGGCCCAGACUCCUACGGGAGGCAGCAGUGGGGAAUAUUGCGCAAUGGGGGCAACCUGAUGCAGCCAUGCCGCGUGAAUGAAGAAGGCCUUCGGGUUGUAAAGUUCUUUCGGUAGCGAGGCGUUAACUACAGAAGAAGCACCGGCUAACUCCGUGCCAGCAGCCGCGGUAAUAC
rnacentral:rRNA from 1 species